CUGUGAUUACUGACAUCGCCGUCGCGCUGUAUACCGCUCGUAGUCUCAGAGCAUUGCUAGUGGCGUUUAAUUCUUUAGUAAAACGCGAUCGUUCGCCGCUUUUGUCUCCGUUUUGAAUUAUCCAUUUAGAUCGCAUCGAUGUGGAUAACACGUGCAAUAAGUAACCGCGUUAUAUCUUUGAAUUAACAUCGAAUUACGAUAAAAGUAAAAUCGUUCGAUAACAACUGCGCUUAUUACCACGCGCUAUGCGUUGGUUUGUGUUUCCUCGAGGUCACCGCCGGACUUUGACAGACGUUAGUAUGUCACGCAUUAGCGUGAUAUUACUUGUGCUAAGUGUCUGCAGUACUUUUUCUAAGGUAUCAGCAGCAGAUAAUGGCCAUUGUAUUUGGUAUGGAGAAUGUUAUAAAGAUGAAUUUCUGCACAAAAAGAAUUGUCAUUAUAUUGGACCACCUAAGCCACUGGAUAAUGAAGGACAAGAAAUACUUGCUAAAAAUUGUCCUCACUUGAUCAAUGAUUCUGGAAAUGGGAUUAAUACUUGCUGUGAUACAAACCAAUUAAAAACUAUGGAUUCAAAUAUUAAAUUAGCUGCUAAUUUUAUAAGCAGAUGUCCUAGCUGUUUAGAUAAUCUAGUAAAGCAUUUUUGUGAAUUUACAUGUAGUACAAAACAAAGCACCUUUAUUAAUGUUACUGACAUACAGACAAACAAUGGCAUAGAAUAUGUCAAUAAAAUAGAUGUUUUUAUAACAAAUAAGUAUCUGGAAGGUACUUUCAAUUCAUGUAGUAAAGUCUCAGUACCUAGUACUGGACAAUUAGCAAUGGAUCUAAUGUGUGGAGUAUGGGGGGCCAGUAGAUGUACUCCAUUAAAAUGGUUUCAUUACAUGGGUGAUGCAGAAAACAAUGCCUAUGUACCUUUCCAAAUUACAUACAUAAAUACUGAUGAACCAGUUGGUUCAUUUACACCUGUAGAUCCUGUUGUUACUCCUUGCAGCAAGGCAUUAAAUAAAAAUACACCAGCAUGCAGCUGUGUAGACUGUGAAGGUAGCUGUCCUGUGCCUCCACCAGCACCUCCUUUGCCAAAACCCUUCACCAUUAUUGGCUACGAUGGAUAUGCAGUGGUUAUGAUAAUUACUUUCAUAUGUGGUACAGCUCUCUUCAUCCUGUCAAUAGUGUGCUUCAGUAAUAGGAGGAAAAUUGUUGCACGAGGUGAGGAAGUAGGAAGGCAGGUGGGUAGACGUCUAGCUGCAGGGUUACAUCAUCCAGGAGAUGGUGCACGAAUUGCUCUCGCCGCUGACCAGGAGGACAGUCCACUUCAGUCUAAGCGUUCCAGUGUGAUAUCUGCAGAUGAUUUGCCGAGCGGAUUCGACGAAGAACAACCAUCAACUUUCAUCGAAAGAUUGGGCGCCAACACUGAUAAGUUAUUAGCAGAAUUCUUUUGCUGGUGGGGUACAGCCUGUGCUUCACGACCAUGGUUUGUUUUAUUCGUCGGCUUUCUGUUCGUCGUUGGUUUGGGACAUGGGAUAAAAUAUAUUCAUGUCACCACGGACCCUGUUGAAUUAUGGGCUGCCCCACAAUCUCGAUCUCGGGUCGAACGAGAAUAUUUUGAUCAGCACUUUGAACCGUUCUAUAGAAACGAGCAAAUAAUUAUAACAUCAGUAGGGCUACCAAAUAUUGUACACAAUACAUCCAAUGGCCCGAUAACAUUUGGUCCAGUGUUUAAUGAUACUUUUCUGAAGACUAUUUACCAGUUACAAGAAGGAAUUAAACAGAUAGUUACUCCGAAUAAUUAUACUUUAGCAGACAUAUGUUUCGCUCCAUUAACUAGUCCAUUCACUGGACCACCAACAGCUUCGCAAUGUGUUAUUCAAAGUAUCUGGGGAUAUUGGCAAGACAGUAUGGACAAUUUUGAUUCUACAUCAGUAGACGAUGACAAUUUUACAGUGAAUUAUUUGGAUCAUUUCAGAGUUUGUUCGCAGAAUGCGUACAAUCCUGAAUGUCUUGCGCCUUAUGGAGGACCGAUAGAACCUGCGAUCGCGGUUGGCGGAUUUCUGUUACCGGGUCAAGAUCUCCACAAUCCUUCCUAUGAAAAAGCUACUGCAAUAAUAUUAACAGUACUAGUAAAUAACUAUCACAAUAAAUCCAAACUGAGUCCGGCAAUGGAAUGGGAAAAGAGUUAUGUAGAAUUUAUGAAAAAUUGGACCGCGACGAAAAAGCCGGCAUUUAUGGACAUCGCGUUUACCUCGGAACGAUCGAUCGAGGAUGAACUGAACAGAGAAUCUCAGUCAGAUGUUUUAACCAUCCUCGUAUCAUACAUUAUUAUGUUCGCGUACAUCGCGAUUUCCCUCGGUCAAAUUAAGACCUGCAGUAGGUUGUUGAUCGAUUCUAAAAUUACUCUUGGCCUUGGCGGUGUACUCAUAGUAUUGGCCUCUGUUGUUUGCUCCGUCGGACUGUUUGGUUUCGUUGGCAUUCCUGCAACACUCAUUAUUAUUGAAGUCAUACCAUUCCUUGUCCUUGCUGUUGGAGUGGACAAUAUUUUCAUUCUGGUCCAAACUCAUCAGAGAGAAGGUCGUCGUCCAAAUGAAUCAAUACCUGAACAUAUCGGUCGUACCCUUGGCCAAGUUGGACCAAGUAUGUUGCUUACCAGUGUAUCAGAAAGUUGCUGCUUCUUCCUUGGUGGAUUAUCCGAUAUGCCUGCUGUUAGAGCUUUUGCUCUGUACGCCGGUAUGGCAUUAUUGGUAGACUUCGUACUUCAAAUAACGUGUUUCGUUAGUUUAUUGGCCUUGGAUACUGUUCGCCAAGCGAACAAUAAAUUGGAUGUAUGUUGUUUCAUCCGUGGUUCGAAGAAAGAUACUGGAGAGGAAGUAGUGAAUGGAAUUUUAUAUAAAAUUUUCAAAGUUGCUUACGUUCCAUUGUUGUUGAAGAAAGGAACACGCGCAUUUGUUAUGAUAGUGUUCUUCGCUUGGCUUUGCUCGAGCAUCGCAGUUGUUCCACAUAUCGAAAUCGGUUUAGAUCAAGAACUUUCCAUGCCUGAAGACAGUUUUGUCUUGAAAUACUUCAAAUUCUUAAAUAGUUAUUUGUCUAUCGGCCCACCAAUGUAUUUUGUUGUAAAAGAGGGUCUAAAUUAUUCUGACACGAGGCAACAAAAUCUAGUGUGUGGUGGGCAGUAUUGUAACAGCGACUCGGUAUCUACUCAAAUAUUCAUAGCUUCUAAGCAGUCGAACAUGACGUACAUAGCGAAGCCGGCCUCCUCCUGGUUGGACGAUUAUAUCGAUUGGACUCAACUAUCUACUUGUUGUAAAUACUUCGUCUCAAAUAGUUCUUUCUGUCCACACACAGGACCUGCCAAACAGUGUGCCACGUGUAAUAUCUCCACGAAUAAAUUCGGUCGACCAGUACCAAUCGACUUCGACAAAUACGUGUCAUUCUUCUUACAAGAUAAUCCUGACGAUACUUGCGCUAAAGGGGGUCAUGCUGCAUACGGUCACGGCGUUAAUUACCUCACUAAUCCGGCGACAGGACUAUCAAAUGUUGGAGCAUCAUAUUUCUCGUCCUAUCACACUAUUCUGAAGUCGUCCGCCGAUUACUACGAAUCGAUGAGAGCUGCAAGAGCUGUCUCAGCAAAUAUAACUGACAUGAUCAACAGUAACUUGAAGAGUAUCGGUAGCACCUCAACAGUUGAAGUUUUCCCGUACAGUGUGUUUUACGUCUUCUACGAACAGUACUUAACAAUGUGGCCCGACACGUUGUACAGCAUAGGAAUAUCUUUGGUCGCCAUUUUCGUUGUGACGUUCCUCUUGAUGGGCCUGGACAUAUUCUCUUCUGUCGUCGUCGUUAUAACGAUCACGAUGAUCGUUGUCAACAUUGGUGGUUUAAUGUAUUGGUGGCACAUCACCCUAAACGCUGUGUCCCUAGUGAAUCUUGUCAUGGCCGUGGGAAUCGCUGUCGAGUUCUGUAGUCACUUAGUACAUUCCUUCUCGGUGUCGGUGAAACCUACCAGAGUCGAAAGGGUUGCCGAUGCAUUGACAAAUAUGGGAAGCUCUAUUUUCAGUGGUAUCACUCUUACGAAGUUCGGUGGAAUCGUCGUACUCGGAUUUGCUAAGAGUCAAAUCUUUAAGGUGUUCUACUUCAGAAUGUAUUUGGGUAUCGUAUUAUUCGGAGCUGCUCACGGUUUAAUAUUUUUGCCCGUAUUACUCAGUUAUAUUGGCACACCAAUGAACAGAGAAAAGCUGGCGAAUCACAAGAGAGCUAUGCAAGGAAAUCUGGACAACGUGCAGGAGACUUCCUUGAAUCAUCGUUAUAAUCAAGCACUGUUAUAAAAUGCUACGUUGUGUAAACGCGUAUGGUGAAUAUUUCUAUUCUCUCUUCGAUUAUAUUACCGCACCGCUAGAGUUAAAAAAGGGGAUAUGGAAAGGAUGGACUACCACUGGUGAACAGCACUCAUAUCUUUCUCCUUUUUUUAACAUUAUUUUUAUUUUUCCUCGAGCACGUACUAUAAUUUAUACUGCGUGAUGUCGCGCCGAGGGCGUGGAAGAGCCCGUCAAUGUGCCAGCGGGGCUGAACACGAAUUUAGGGGUCAGGUACUGGGGCC
rnacentral:misc_RNA from 1 species